GAGGUGGGGGGGUCAGCCCCCCGCCCGGCCAGCAGCCCCGUCCGGGAGGGAGGUGGGGAGGUCAGCCCCCCGCCCGGCCAGCCGCCCCGUCCGGGAGGGAGUUGGGGGGGUCAGCCCCCUGCCCGGCCAGCCGCCCCAUCCGGGAGGUGAGGGGCGCCUCUGCCCGGCCGCCCCUACUGGGAAGUGAGGAGCCCCUCUGCCCGGCCGCCACCCCGUCUGGGAGGUGUACCCAACAGCUCAUUGAGAACGGGCCAUGAUGACAAUGGCGGUUUUGUGGAAUAG
rnacentral:lncRNA from 1 species